GCCAGACUCCUACGGGAGGCAGCAGUGGGGGAUAUUGCACAAUGGGGGGAACCCUGAUGCAGCGACGCCGCGUGGGUGAAGGAGCGUUUCGGCGCGUAAAGCCCUAUCGGCAGGGAAGAAGGAGGACGGUACCUGACUAAGAAGCCCCGGCUAACUACGUGCCAGCAGCCGCGGUAAUACGUAGGGGGCAAGCGUUAUCCGGAUUUACUGGGUGUAAAGGGAGCGUAGACGGCAAUGCAAGCCAGAUGUGAAAGCCCGGGGCUCAACCCCGGGACUGCAUUUGGAACUGUGUAGCUGGAGUGUCGGAGAGGCAGGCGGAAUUCCUAGUGUAGCGGUGAAAUGCGUAGAUAUUAGGAGGAACACCAGUGGCGAAGGCGGCUUGCUGGACAGUAACUGACGUUGAGGCACGAAAGUGUGGGGAGCAAACAGGAUUAGAUACCCCGGUAA
rnacentral:rRNA from 1 species